AACCCAAAGGACUUGACGGUGUCCCACCCGACUAGAGGAGCCUGUUCUAUAAUCGAUGGUCCCCGCUUUACCCCACCCCCUCUUGCUUUUCAGUCUGUAUACCUCCGUCGUAAACUUACCACAUGAGUGGUUUAGUCAAAUACCAACACGUCAGGUCAAGGUGCAGCCCACGAGGGGGCAGAAAUGGGCUACAAUUUCUAAGCUAGAACAAACGAAAUACUGCAUGAAAACACAGUCAAGAAGGAGGAUCUAGUAGUAAAGAGAAAAUAGUGUGUUCUCUUAAAUACGGCCCUGGGAUACGUACACACCGCCCGUCGCCCUCUUC
rnacentral:rRNA from 1 species